GAUGAACGCUGGCGGCGUGCCUAAUACAUGCAAGUCGAGCGAACAGACGAGGAGCUUGCUCCUCUGACGUUAGCGGCGGACGGGUGAGUAACACGUGGAUAACCUACCUAUAAGACUGGGAUAACUUCGGGAAACCGGAGCUAAUACCGGAUAAUAUAUUGAACCGCAUGGUUCAAUAGUGAAAGACGGUUUUGCUGUCACUUAUAGAUGGAUCCGCGCCGCAUUAGCUAGUUGGUAAGGUAACGGCUUACCAGGGCAACGAUGCGUAGCCGACCUGAGAGGGUGAUCGGCCACACUGGAACUGAGACACGGUCCAGACUCCUACGGUAGGCAGCAGUAGGGAAUCUUCCGCAAUGGGCGAAAGCCUGACGGAGCAACGCCGCGUGAGUGAUGAAGGUCUUCGGAUCGUAAAACUCUGUUAUUAGGGAAGAACAAAUGUGUAAGUAACUAUGCACGUCUUGACGGUACCUAAUCAGAAAGCCACGGCUAACUACGUG
rnacentral:rRNA from 1 species